GACGAACGCUGGCGGCGUGCCUAAUACAUGCAAGUCGAACGCAGUGGGGACGGGUGAGUAACACGUGGGUAACCUCCCAUCAGAGGGGAUAACACUUGGAAACAGGUGCUAAACCGAUACUGAUGGAUGGACCCGGGGUGCAUUAGCUAGUUGGUGAGGUAACGGCUCACCAAGGCCACGAUGCAUAGCUGACCUGCGAGGGUGAUCGGCCACACUGGGAAUUAGACACGGCCCAGACUCCUACGGUAGGCAGCAGUCGGGAAUAUUCGGCCAUGGACGAAAGUCUGACCGAGCUACACCGCGUGAGUGAAGAAGGUUUUCGGUUCUUAAAACUCUUUUUUUAGAGAAGCGUUAUCUAACCAAAAAGCCACGGCUAACUCCGUGCCAGCAGCCGCGGUAAUAC
rnacentral:rRNA from 1 species